rnacentral:autocatalytically_spliced_intron from 1 species
CCAGAGAGUUCUUAAGAAGAGCUCGAUUGGUGGAUGAAACUGCUUUAUACAAUUAUUCAAAGAAACGCACAACGACCAGUAAAACUGUUAAAGUUUUUCUUCGACAAAAUAAUCUCAUUCCCCGUAACGACUGAUUCAAAAUUGCUUGGCAAGAGCAAUGAGAUGAGAUGGUUUCUGUCAAAUGACAGAUGCUAUCACACGCCACCGCCUCCUGCAAUAGUUGUGUUGCAAAGGAUGAAGAUAUAGUCUAUGCCAUUAGUAAUAAUGGA